GUCGUGUUGUGUGAUGGUCGAAAGACCGUAAAUCCGUGGCGCACCGAUCGCGACUUCCAUACAGCAUCGUCGUCGUCAGCCGCGACUUCGCGGACCGACAUCGAACGUCUCGUACGGGAACAAGAUAUUCCGCGACACACGUACGUCCGUCCCGGAGAUGGCGACUCUGAUUUUCCGCUGCCACCGUCACCGCGUUCCGGGUAAGUCGAGACGAGUUUUUUUUUUUUUUUUCUUGUACAUUAUAUAGGUUUUUUACUUGUAGAAUAUACCGUAUCGUACCGUUAAAGACCGUCUAUUCGUCUGCACCGUGCAUACAUAUUAUAUAAGUGCAUUGUGCGUUUGUGCACGCAUACGACUUUUACGUAUACAGGUACUUAGUACGCGUGUACCGGAUAAUACAUAUUAUUAUUAUUAUUAACGAGUAUUACCUCCGCGAUUAUUUUGCAUAUUUUAAGUGGCGUUUUUUUUUUUUUUUCAUUGCACCAAACAAAUGUGUUUUUAACAAAUGUAACUAUUGUAUCUCCGAACACUUCGAGUGUUUUUCAUUUUUUAUUGUUUUUUGUUGUAUAGGUCAAUUUUGACGGAUCAAAAUUGUCAAAAGCAAAUUAAUAGCAAUACUAAGUGGUACUUACGGAGACGUGUUCAAUAUUUUAAUAUAAUCAAGAUUAAAACAAUGAAUAGCAUAAUAUAUAGAGUUCGAAUUAUGUAACAAUAUUGGUUUAAACAAUUUAUUGGUGAGUUUAUUGACAUUUAUAAUUAUUUUC